rnacentral:lncRNA from 1 species
AAAACACUUGAUGUCAAAAUACCACGGCUUCUCAUCUUCGAUUUCUUUAAUAGCAAACACAUGAGUUGGCCUAUCAAGACGCAUUACAGUCAAAUUGGGAACUUCAUUCCAAUACUUCACCAUAAUCAUUGAAGCCAACGUUGCAAGAGCAUCUUCCAUCCGGUUUUCAUCUCGAGGGAUGUGAUGAAACUCAACCUUCGUAAAGAAAGUUGA